GGGGGGAGCACCGGAUCCUGGGCUGUGUCCCCCAGCACCAGGUGCUCCAGGGCCUGCACUGCUGGAAUCGCGCUCCCGGGUCAGUGCAGCCGCUU
rnacentral:pre_miRNA from 1 species